AAAAUAAUCCUACCCUUUGUGAAUUUUGUUUGUUUGAAUAAUUUUUUUUUAAAAAAUUAUUGGAGUCUUUCCCUUUAGAGUUUGCUUUUGAGUUUGUAAAAGAAUUCGAAAACAUCUAAAGGGGAUGGUCAAUAAUUUUUUUUGAAAAAAGACAUUUUUUAAAUUAAACUUUUUGUAUUCAUUUGUCUAAAAAUUAUUUUUAUAAUAUAAAAACAACUUUUGACAAUGGAUCUCUUGGUUCUCGCAACGAUGAAGAACGCAGCAAAAUGCGAUAAGUAGUGUGAAUUGCAGAAUACGUGAAUCAUCGAAUCUUUGAACGCAUAUUGCACUUUUUUAGUUUACUAAAAAAGUAUGUCUGUUUGAGUAUCAGUAAAAUAUUCUCAUAAAAAUCAUUGUAUUUUAUGGUUAUGAGUGUUCUACAACGAUACAAGUUGUUUCACUUUAAAUUUUUUUUAAUAUUGAAAUUUUUCUAAUUUUAAUAAUUAAAAUUGGAUAAAAUUUUCCCGUCAAAAGGAAUAACCUAAACAAUUUUAAAUGAUUAAUUUUAGCAAAAUUUUCGAAAAAAGGAAAAUUUUUAUUAAAAUAACUUGAUCUCAAAUCAGAUAAGAGUACCCGCUGAACUUAAGCAUAUCAAUAAGCGGAGGAAAAGAAACUAACAAGGAUUCCCUUAGUAACGGCGAGUGAAGCGGGAAGAGCUCAAAUUUGAAAUCUUCAAGGUUUUACCUUGACGAAUUGUAGUUUAAAGAAGUGUUUUCUGCUGAAGUUUUGGUAAAAGUUCUUUGGAAUAGGACAUCAUAGAGGGUGAGAAUCCCGUAUUUGACCAUUAUUUUCAGCUUUGUGAUACACUUUCAAAGAGUCGGAUUGUUUGGGAAUGCAGUCCAAAAUGGGUGGUAAAUUUCAUCUAAAGCUAAAUAUUGGCGAGAGACCGGUAGCGAACAAGUACCGUGAGGGAAAGAUGAAAAGAACUUUGAAAAGAGAGUUAAACAGUACGUGAAAUUGUCAAAAGGGAAGCGUUUGACACCAGUGUUGUUUUCUCGAAAAUCAAUUAAAAAUGGCUCGAUUUUGUAUUGCUGAGACCUUAAAAGCUCACUGUACAUUUUUCGUGUCUUUUUUAAUGCACUUUUCGUUUAACAAGUCAACAUCAGUUUCUCUUGUUGUAAAAGGGUCAUUGGAGGUGGCUUUCUUUUCGGAGAAAGUGUUUAUAGCCUUUGGCCUCUGCAAUCGGAGAGACUGAGGUCUGCAGCGUAGACUCUUCGGGGUUAGAUACAUUUGUGCUAAGUUAUAGCUUUUUAUAGACAACUUGUUGACUAUAAUUAGUCUUGUAGCUUACUCGCUUAUGCUAUUUUACCUACGCUUAGGAUG
rnacentral:misc_RNA from 1 species